UGCUAAUCCUGACAAAAAGCCAGAAAACAAUGUAAGAAGAAACACCAACAAUUAAUAAUUUCAGGAGAUCACAACAGAACUAUGUAUUACACUGGGUAAUCAAGAGUGUGCAGUCAGAAUACUCAGCACUCUUCUUUCUAAAGACGAAAUGAAAUCCUGGAAGAUGUCUUUGGGCUGUUGUCACUUUGUCCAACAGCGUCCUGGAAGAACUGCUACUUUGCAUCACCACAAUUUAAAACAUUCCAGCCACAGAGUUCCAGCACAGCAUAUCCUUUACAGAUAUGAGGAGCUAACUACAACAUUUGAUAUAAAUUCACAGUCUUCCGGGUGCAGUUGGCUAUCACUAGGUGGCUAAAAUUAUGUCUGCUAGAUGGCGCGAGUGUCUUCGUUACUCAAGACGAAAUUCCGCCAUUUCUUAAAACACUGAUUGGAAACCACAUGUUGAAAACGUAUCGUUGGAUUGGAUACUUAAUACGGCGUACUUUUCUUUCUUGACAUUUUUAUUCGUAAUAAUGGUAUUUAUCUGGUAACAGCCUAUAAUUUCUACAUGGCAAUUUCAUCUGAUCAUGUGGCCUGAGCACCUGAACAUUUUGCCAAAAUGUUGUCUCUUUUUUCCUGUACCAGCUUCACGUUUGUCAGAAAACCUUCAGAACAAUUCGGGAUUAACACCCUGGUGGAGUUUGAGCUUCUUUGUUGCUGCCCAACUUACACGUGGAUUUGACGCAGCCAGCUGAGGGCUUUAACUCUUGUUAAGCGUUUGUAUUCGCGUAGUUGCUGUCCGAUGUGGCACGUUGUUGCAGCCUAUGAUGGUGAAAGAUCUUUCUACAUCAAGUUCAAUUGGCCGUUCCUUGGUGCUGAUGGGUUACCGAAGUUGCAUCAUAUUUUGUUAAAUUGUCAACGUGACUAUUGCAGUUUACGUUUAUAAGUUCAGAAGCAACAAAAACAAAUAUUGGAUGUUUAUGUCAACAAAUAAUAAACAUGUUUCCGACUUUCCGGGAUUGGGAAAGGAAAGUAGAGGAUGUUGAAGUGGGAGGGAGGAUAUUUCAAGUUUGGAUAAAAAUUCAUUUAAUCUAUAACCCUACAAACGUAGCCCUACCAAUUAAUCUCCAAACCCCACAAACAUAUACCUUCCAAUCCUUCAAACUCCGAAAACAUACACCUACUAACCCCUAUAAACCAAUAUUAAACCUUAACCAUGUAAUAUUUGUAAUGAAUAAAAAUAUAAUAUAUCAA
rnacentral:lncRNA from 1 species